GCUCGCCAGAAUUUUUUUUCUGGUAGAUAAUUCUCUCAAGAUUCUAUUUGAAUCUGUGGCAUAACUUGUUGCAAAAAGUUCCAAGACCAGUAACUGUUACAUAACCAUUACAUAAUCAACGGGAUUAGAAACAUCUGGUGAAAAAUGGAAACCAAGCUAUCUUAGCUAGCUACCAAAGUUGUCCUAUGGAUACCCUUCCCUGACCAGUGGUGUUGAAGAGGCAGAGAGGAGGAUGCAUCAACACCCUGGAAAUAUGUUUUCAUAACACUUUUUUUUAGUGAUAAAUUAGUAUUGUCUUUAAGAUUGAUAAGAAACAAUCAGUUACAAGGCAAAAAUACAGAUUGAGGCCUUCAAUCAAACUGAGGACAGAGAAAUAUUUGUGCACCAGACAGGCCAAGACUUCUUGCAUGCAUGACUUUUAGAUGUUAGUUACACUUUACAAAAUGCUGGGUUGUUUGGAUGACCCAAUUGCUGGGCUGCAGGCAUUGGGUCAAUAGUUGGGUUGUUUUCUGUAAAAACAGCAAGGUUGGGUCGUUGGUACUGGGUUAUUAAGGUUGGGUUAUGGCAGUGCUGAUUUUAGCAUGUAAAUCUUGGUGGGGCAAACUCAACCAAUUUUUUUAGAUGCAUGUCAGCAAAGCCCCUGCACAAUGCAACACUAAAAAAUACAUUAUAGAUAUUUGACCCAGCCAGUAGGAUAAGUCCAGCAUAAUGUGAGCAAGUGUCAAGACGUGGCAACUAACAAGUCCUCUAGUGCGACUUAGUGAGUGGAAAACUGCUAAUGUUAUUUAGACAAACUAAGGGUGUUUUGGCAGAGUGAAAACGAUAAGUAACAAGCGUUACAAAUUAUGAAUUUGAUGGUUAAAUUUGAGUGUUGUUGCAGAAUAUAGCUAAAUGUGCGUUCAUUGAAUCAGAUUCAUCACAAAACCCUCUGAAAAUUCCAACAACCUUAAUGAUGAAUGAUUGUUUGGUGUUUUCUGAUUGUUUCAGUACAUGCAUUCAACAAGCUUUGGACGAAGGACUUCCACAAAGCCGCCAUCUCCAAAGUUCACUCAAAAAGGCAAUAGUCCUGAACAGGGUAGUUUAGUUUUGUUUUAAUUAUUUAGAUUUAGUUAAUGAUUUUUGAAACUUCCAUUGGUUGAAAUCUAUUGCUCAUGUAAAUAAUUCUGUAGUUUCCCCUUUAAACAUCCUAAGGUCAACAUCCUCACCCAUAGUGUUCACAUUUCUCUCAUGUAUGUGUUGUAGCUACAUAAAAUAUUAAAUAAACAAUUU